UCCCAGUUCGGAUUGUAGUCUGNAACCCGACUACAUGAAGCUGGAAUCGCUAGUAAUCGCGAAUCAGAAUGUCGCGGUGAAUACGUUCCCGGGUCUUGUACACACCGCCCGUCACACCAUGGGAGUCGGAAAUGCCCGAAGUCAGUGACCCAACCGUAAGGAGGGAGCUGCCGAAGGUGGAGCCGGUAACUGGGGUGAAGUCGUAACAAGGUAUC
rnacentral:rRNA from 1 species